AGAUGAGGCGCAGAGAGACAGAGCUGGGGAAAACAUGAAAGAAAAGGGAAGAAGUCAAAGAAGAUAGGAUGCGAAGGCCCAAAUGCACACAUCUCCUAGGUUCUGGAAGAAAAAACGAGAGGGCGUGCAGGAGACUUGAGAUGCAACAGACAGGCUGAGGAAAGAAUCCUCAGANNNNNNNNNNNNNNNNNNNNNNNNNGGAAUGCAAUCUCAAGCAGGCUCUCCGUGGAGACAUACCACCGUCAAAUGACAAAAACCAGAGGCAAAGACACAAUCUGGAGUCCCAUUGUGGCUCAGUGAGUUAGGAACCCAACGUAGUGUCCACGAGAGUGUGGGUUUGAUCCCUGGCCUCACUCCGUGGGCUAAGAUCCAGCAUUGCUGCAACCUGUGCAGUUGCUCCUAAAUGUGGUCCAGAUUCUGAGUUGCUAUGGCUUUGGAGCAGGCCGGCAGCUGCAGCUCGAUUCCACCCCUAGCCCAGAACUUCCAUGUGCCUCAGGAAUGGCCGUAAACAAACAAAAAAAGACGUGACCUGAGAAGCAACAAGAACGAAAGGGCAGAUCCCAUCAGAAACCCGAGGGGAGCUGACCGCUGAUGCUCCAGAGCCACCGGAAAUUGGAAUGCAAUGGCAUGCUAUUUCCAACAUGCUAAGAAAAAAAGUACCACCAAAAUAGGACUGUCUGCCUAGUGAUGGAAAAGAUAUACAUUACCAGACAAAUAGAAAUGGGUGAAUCUACCAGUAGAGCUUCAGUAAAGGGAAUUUUAAAGGAAAUGGUUCACAAGGAAGAAAGCAAAGAAAGCAUCAGAUACGCCGGGCAAGCUAAGCAAGAACUGACUAAAUAAAAUAAGGGUAGAUGACGGAGCAUGAUAAUGGGAGCAAAAAGAAUGCAAGCACGUAUAUGUAACCGGGUCACCAUGCUGUACAGUAGAAAAAAAUAGAAUUGGGGAAGUAACAAUAAAAAAAAUUUUUGAAGGGUAAUAAAAACAAGUUGAAACUAAAAUAUUGGGUAAAAAUAACACGUAAAGCUGGGUGCGUGAUUAGAGUGAAAGCAGUCUGCAAUCUUUGUAUUUUAUGUGAAAUGUUUGGGAGAGGAACAGAAAAGCGGCAGAACUUUAGAAACUGAGUUAAGUGUGUUAUGUUAGAAUUGUAAAGAUAAGCACUUAAAAAAACAAGUGAUUUUCAAAGAGCUAAGGAAGAGAAAUAGAGGCCAGUGAGGGAAGCCAAGAAAGUCAUCUGUAACGAGAGCACCAGGUAUGGCGUGAUGGAAUGCUCUCCGCAAUGGAUAUGGUCUAACAGAGACACAGCAAGGAUGCUGCAGGAAGGACCACUGGCUUAAGAGGGAUGCUGGACCCAAGAUGUGAAGCCCCUCUUCCAACCCCUUAGAAUCCUAUGGAUCAAAUAGGACAGGACCAUAUACAGGGCUAUUCUUUCCUUCUUCCUUCCUUCCACAAUGGUUUAUUGAGCACCUACUGUAUGCCAGGCACCACUCUAGAUGCACUCUAGAUGCAUUUAUGGUGUUUUAUCUCUAGGGAGGAAAACGUACAAUAAACAAAAUGAUUUGAGAUGAUGAUGCUACGAAGAAAAUAGUGAUGAGACAGCCUGGCAGAGAAUUGGAUGGGCAUUCGUUAUUAGGAGGUCCUGAAGAGAGGUAAGGUGAGCGGAGACCUGAAGGUCAAGUAAAAGCCAACCACAGAGGGAGCUCCCAGGGUCCAAGAAGCCUGGAUACGUAAGGUGGGGCCAGCUUGGUGGAGCUGGAAGCCGGGUAGAGCCCAGGGGCCGUCGUAAGGCUGUGGGAAGGUUUUGUUCCAGUUUCCGCUGGGAAAAGAAUCAUGUGUUGGCUUCAGUGAGACCCAAGGCUUUGCUAGCUAAGAUCUGUAUAAUCAUGGAGAAGCUGAAAAUUAGCCCUGCUGGCAGGCAAACCGAGAUAAACAAGGUUUUCAACAGGACAUGGAACAGAAACACAAAGACACACAGGCAGGGCCACCCUGCAGCUGCAAAAUGACAAACCCUUUCCCUAGAAUCACCCAGCACAAGGCCCAUCAUGAGGCUCCUUUGCAAGACGGCCCUGGGUUCACGGCUGCAGCAAGCCUGGGAAACCCAGCACUGAGGCUUCAGGAGGGCUCUUGGGGUUACCCUCUCUGGCGACUGCAAAAAAUCACGACAAGAUUAGCCAGCAUCAUUCUCAACAGCAGCCAGGCGGCUCGCUGAGAGCUUUACACAUAAUAUGAGACAUUUCAUGUUCCCUUAAGCCUCUGGGGUGACUGCUGUCAUGACCACCCUCUUCUGAGGGGUGGGAUUGAGACUUAGAGAGAGGAAGACUAGAAAGUAGCAGAAAGAGGAUUGAGAAAGAAAUUUGUCUGAUGUUGGCAAACAAAGGCCUGCACCAGCUCUUAGCUUUCUGGGUGCUGGCAAGGGUGGGAGCUACUGCUCCUAUUCAGGUCUGAGCCCUAAGUCCUGGCCUUUUAUUUUUAGCAACUGAGAAAUUUUUAUUUAUUUUAUUUUAUUUUCUGUCUUUUUAGGGCCACACUGGCAGCAUAUGGAAGUUCCCAGGCUAGGGGUCAAAUCAGAGCUGUAGCUGCCGGCCUACACCACAGCCACAGCAACGCUGGAUCCUGAACCCACUAAGUGAGUUCAGGGAUCAAACCUGCCUCCUCAUGGAUACUAGUCAGAUUCAUUACUGCUGAGCCAUGACAGGAACUCCUAGUUUG
rnacentral:lncRNA from 1 species